rnacentral:rRNA from 1 species
GACGAACGCUGGCGGCGUGCUUAACACAUGCAAGUCGAACGCUGAAGCACCAGCUUGCUGGUGUGGAUGAGUGGCGAACGGGUGAGUAAUACGUGAGUAACCUGCCCUUGACUCUGGGAUAAGCCCGGGAAACUGGGUCUAAUACUGGAUGCUACAUGUCACCGCAUGGUGGUGUGUGGAAAGGGUUUACUGGUCUUGGAUGGGCUCACGGCCUAUCAGCUUGUUGGUGAGGUAAUGGCUCACCAAGGCGACGACGGGUAGCCGGCCUGAGAGGGUGACCGGCCACACUGGGACUGAGACACGGCCCAGACUCCUACGGGAGGCAGCAGUGGGGAAUAUUGCACAAUGGGCGAAAGCCUGAUGCAGCGACGCCGCGGGAGGGAUGACGGACUUCGGGUUGUAAACCUCUUUCAGCAGGGAAGAAGCCACAAGUGACGGUACCUGCAGAAGAAGCGCCGGCUAACUACGUG